UGGGGGCGUGUCCGCCUGCUUUCAGCCUUUGGCAAGUUGGUGGGAGCUAAAAUCAGUCAUCUUCCUGCGAAGGCAUGAGGAGGAAAAGAGAGGAAGUAACUGAGCGAUAAUAUGCUGUAUGAGCCUCCUGCUCUGCUGCCCAUUACCUGCGUCACCUCCACAAGCUACUGAACCUCAAGGAACCCAUCUCCUCAUCAGGAAAAAAAAUAAGCUUUAUCAGGGUCUGAACUCUGUAGGUCUUCACCACGGCUCAGGAGGAUGAGGAGCAGUGACAGGCCAAACUACGAGAAAAGACAGAGGGAAUCAAACUCAACACUGUGUCUAAACCUCCUCCACCACUGUUGAAGGGAUCCUGGCAUCAGAUGGGGAACAGCUCUAAAUCAAAAUAACCUCACUACUGUGCUUUUCUGUAAAACCAGGUAAAGAUCAGACAAGCAUGA
ensembl:lncRNA novel transcript